AGCCUGCUCAGUGAAUUUUUUAAAUAGCCGCGGUAUUUUAACUGUGCUAAGGUAGCAUAGUAAUUAGUCUUUUAAUUGAGGUCUGGAAUGAAUGGUUGAAUGAAAAAUUAACUUUAUUAAUUUUAUUUUUUUUGAAUUUUAUUUUUUAGUUAAAAAGCUAAAAUUUUUUAGAGGGACGAUAAGACCCUAUAGAUCUUUAAAAUUUAAAUUUUUAUUUGUUUUUUGUUGUAUUUUUUGUAAUAAUUUAAUGUUUUUUUGUUGGGGUGAUAACUAAAAUUUUAAACUUUAGUUUUUUUAUACAUUUAUAUUUGGGUUUAUGAUCCCUUUUUAAGGAUUAUAUGAUAAAGAUACCUUAGGGAUAACAGCGUUAUAUGGUUGGAGAGUUCUUAUCGAUAAUUAUGUUUGCGACCUCGAUGUUGGAUUAAAAUUUUACUGUGGGGUAGCUUUUACAGUUUUAGGG
rnacentral:rRNA from 1 species